rnacentral:rRNA from 1 species
UACGUAGGGGGCAAGCGUUGUCCGGAAUUAUUGGGCGUAAAGAGCGCGUAGGCGGUCCGGUAAGUCGGCUGUGAAAGUCAAGGGCUCAACCCUUGAAAGCCGGCCGAUACUGUCGGACUAGAGUCCGGAAGAGGCGAGUGGAACUCCUGGUGUAGCGGUGGAAUACGCAGAUAUCAGGAAGAACACCAACGGCGAAGGCAGCUCGCUGGGACGGUACUGACGCUGAGACGCGAAAGCGUGGGGAGCAAACAGG